rnacentral:rRNA from 1 species
GAUGAACGCUGACAGCAUGCUUAACACAUGCAAGUCGAUGGGGAAGUGGUGCUUGCACCAUGGUAACCAUGGCGGACGGGUGAGUAACGCGUAAGGAACUUGCCUGCGGGACUGGGAUAACAGCAGGAAACUGCUGAUAAUACCGGAUAAGGGCAUUAAGCUGCAUAGCUUAGGGAUGAAAUGAGACGCCUGCGGAGGGCCUCGCGUCCUAUUAGCUAGUUGGAGGGGUAGUGGCUGACCAAGGCGAUGAUGGGUAGCCGGCCUGAGAGGGUGGCCGGCCACACUGGGACUGAGAUACGGCCCAGACUCCUACGGGAGGCAGCAGUGGGGAAGAUUGCACAAUGGGCGGAAGCCUGAGGCAGCAACGCCGCGUGCGGGAGGACGGCCUUCGGGUUGUAAACCGCUUGCGCCUGUGACGAAGCGUGAGUGACGGUAAUGGGUAAAGAAGCACCGGCUAACUACGUG